AGAGUUUGAUCCUGGCUCAGAAUCAACGCUGGCGGCGUGCCUAACACAUGCAAGUCGAGCGAGAAAGGGGCUUCGGCCCUGAGUAAAGCGGCGCACGGGUGAGUAACACGUGGGUAAUCUGCCCUAGAGUGGGGAAUAACACCGGGAAACCGGUGCUAAUACCGCAUACGAUCGCGAUGUCUUCGGAUGUUGUGAUGAAAGGAGCAAUUCGCUCUUGGAGGAGCCCGCGGCUGAUUAGCUAGUUGGUGAGGUAAUGGCUCACCAAGGCAACGAUCAGUAGCCGGUCUGAGAGGACGGUCGGCCACACUGGAACUGAGACACGGUCCAGACUCCUACGGGAGGCAGCAGUGGGGAAUUUUUCGCAAUGGGGGCAACCCUGACGAAGCAACGCCGCGUGGGUGAUGAAGUCUCUUGGGACGUAAAACCCUUUCGACGGGGAAGAAACCGCAAGGUUGACGGUACCCGUAGAAGAAGCCCCGGCUAACUCCGUGCCAGCAGCCGCGGUAAUACGGGGGGGGCAAGCGUUGUUCGGAAUUACUGGGCGUAAAGGGCGCGUAGGCGGUCCGCUAAGUUGAAUGUGAAAACUCUGGGCUUAACCCAGAGCCUGCAUUCAAUACUGGCGGGCUAGAGUUCUGGAGGGGAUAGCGGAAUUCCUGGUGUAGCGGUGAAAUGCGUAGAUAUCAGGAGGAACACCGGUGGCGAAGGCGGCUAUCUGGACAGAGUCUGACGCUGAGGCGCGAAAGCUAGGGGAGCAAACAGGAUUAGAUACCCUGGUAGUCCUAGCCCUAAACGAUGGAUACUUGCUGUGACUGGGAUUGAAUCCAGUCGUGGCGAAGCUAACGCAUUAAGUAUCCCGCCUGGGGAGUACGGUCGCAAGGCUGAAACUCAAAGGAAUUG
rnacentral:rRNA from 1 species